CAACAAAUAUUUCUUUGACAAUUUUGACAGGCUCUACUGAACAAAAUGAUUUAAUAUUUAGCCAGAAACUUAUUAGUGAUGGCUUUUAAUGUGUGUUUUUUUCCUGAUUUGCCAAACACAGUCAAGUUUCUGUUUGACAAUAAGUUGCACCUUGAAUUUUGAGCUGUAAUGUGGGAUAUGUGCGCAUUGCAUUUGUGCCAAUUUUUUUUUUACAAAAUCCAAUCUUUAAUUUGCGUCAAAUAAAUAAUCUACAUCUGCAACAGUAAUAGUGAAGAUAAAGUACGACAAAACACUAUAUUGGUGUAUUUGCAUUGAUAAAGUCGCAAAAAACACUAUAUUGGUGUAUUUGCAUUGAUAAAGUA
rnacentral:lncRNA from 1 species